rnacentral:rRNA from 1 species
UGACCUACGGGGGGCUGCAGUGGGGAAUAUUGCGCAAUGGGCGAAAGCCUGACGCAGCAACGCCGCGUGAGGGAUGACGGCCUUCGGGUUGUAAACCUCUUUCAGCAGGGAAGAAGCGAAAGUGACGGUACCUGCAGAAGAAGCACCGGCUAACUACGUGCCAGCAGCCGCGGUAAUACGUAGGGUGCAAGCGUUGUCCGGAUUUAUUGGGCGUAAAGAGCUCGUAGGCGGUUAGUCACGUCGGAUGUGAAAACCCGGAGCUUAACUCCGGGCCUGCAUUCGAUACGGGCUGACUAGAGUGUUGUAGGGGAGACUGGAACUCCUGGUGUAGCGGUGAAAUGCGCAGAUAUCAGGAAGAACACCGGUGGCGAAGGCGGGUCUCUGGGCAACUACUGACGCUGAGGAGCGAAAGCGUGGGGAGCAAACAGGAUUAGAUACCCUAGUAGUC